rnacentral:rRNA from 1 species
UACGGGGGGGGCAAGCGUUGUUCGGAAUUACUGGGCGUAAAGGGCUCGUAGGCGGCCAACUAAGUCGGAUGUGAAAUCCCCAGGCUUAACCUGGGAACUGCAUCCGAUACUGGAUGGCUUGAAUCCGGGAGAGGGAUGCGGAAUUCCAGGUGUAGCGGUGAAAUGCGUAGAUAUCAGGAAGAACACCCGUGGCGAAGGCGGCUCUCUGGGACGGUACUGACGCUGAGACGCGAAAGCGUGGGGAGCGAACAGG